rnacentral:rRNA from 1 species
AACCUUACCAGGUCUUGACAUCCCGAUGCUAUUUCUAGAGAUAGAAAGUUACUUCGGUACAUCGGUGACAGGGUGGUGCAUGGUUGUCGUCAGCUCGUGUCGUGAGAUGUUGGGUUAAGUCCCCGCAACGAGCGCAACCCCUAUCUUUAGUUGCCAUCAUUGAGUUGGGCACUCUAAAGAGACUGCCGGUGUCAAACCGGAGGAAGGUGGGGAUGACGUCAAGUCCUCAUGGCCUUUAUGACCAGGGCUACACACGUACUACAAUGGCCGGUACAAAGGGCAGCGACACAGCGAUGUGAAGCGAAUCCCGAAAAGCCGGUCUCAGUCCGGAUUGGAGUCUGCAACUCGACUCCAUGAAGUUGGAAUCGCUAGUAAUCGCGGAUCAGCACGCCGCGGUGAAUACGUUCCCGGGCCUU